UACGUAGGGUGCAAGCGUUGUCCGGAAUUAUUGGGCGUAAAGAGCUCGUAGGCGGUUUGUCGCGUCGGCUGUGAAAACCUGGGGCUCAACCCCGGGCCUGCAGCCGAUACGGGCAAACUAGAAUUCGGUAGGGGAGACUGGAAUUCCUGGUGUAGCGGUGAAAUGCGCAGAUAUCUGGAGGAACACCGGUGGCGAAGGCGGCAUCCUGGACCACGACUGACGCUGAGGAGCGAAAGCCAGGGGAGCAAACGGG
rnacentral:rRNA from 1 species